rnacentral:rRNA from 1 species
AGUGAGGGCUUAAAUAUCUUAAAGGCACCAGAUCCCGUCUGAUCUUGGAAGCUAAGCAGAGUCAGCCUUUUUUAGUACUUUGAUGGGAAAUACCUACAAAUACUAGGUGCUUUAAACC